UACGUAGGGGGCAAGCGUUGUCCGGAAUCAUUGGGCGUAAAGAGCGUGUAGGCGGUCCGGUAAGUCGGCUGUGAAAGUCCAGGGCUCAACCCUGGGAUGCCGGUCGAUACUGCCGGACUAGAGUUCGGAAGAGGCGAGUGGAAUUCCCGGUGUAGCGGUGAAAUGCGCAGAUAGUCGGGAGGAACACCUAUGGCGAAGGCAGCUCGCUGGGACGUUACUGACGCUGAGACGCGAAAGCGUGGGGAGCAAACAGG
rnacentral:rRNA from 1 species